UUAGAACUCUCUCUAGUGUUGCUGUGAGCAUGCAGUGAGGUUUGUGUGCAGCAAAAGCCUGCAAGCGGAGGAAGACCCUACCAAUUGCUGUGGCUCUAAGGCCGUUACCCUCUCCAGGGCAAGCUUGACCUCUACCCAUUUGCCAACAUCCUAGCAGAACUGUUUUUACCAGUCAAUGUCUGGUUGUUUCCAUUCCGGUUUGUGACCACCCUGCAUGGAGCAUGACUUUUGGCACCAUUUUUCCAACGGCAUGUGCUCACUUCAUGUCUCCUUUUCACAUUUUGUUAGGAAUGCUGACUGCUACGUCUACAUUGUGUUAAAUGCCACAGUAGCUAUGAGGAUACACUGGCAAAUAAGAAAUGAAUGAAGCUUCCAAGAUUUCACAGGCUAGAGACAGGAACAGACUCCAGCACAUCAAUGUAAUACAGUGUGAUCAGAGCUAUGAGCUGCCAGUGGCGGUACGAGGCGCACAGUGGGUGUUCGAUAAACACCACUGAUCGACAUUCAACACUCAGGCAACACCAACAUCCCAGCUCGUACCAGACACUGGAAAACUAGGUCAUCUAUUUGGCAGAGGCAUCAUGAUUCAUCAGGACAGGAUCUGUGAAUGGUGUAAAUUAACCAAACACACACACACACACACACACACACACACAACUCAGCCUUUUGGAAAAAUUACAUCUUUGUUGCAAAGAUGCCAGAAUGUCUGAAAAUGGCCAAAACCUGGGGAUUUUCCAUAGAUUAGUCAUGUGGUUUAAAUAAUUAGAUUUGAAGGCCCAGUAUGAGAUUGCCCCCAGUGAAACAGGAGCAGGUUCCAGGCCAAGUUCAGUCAUGUAUAAAGAGAAGAAGCUCCUCAAACUGACAGCAAUGAAUUAAAAGAAGGAAGAAAUCAAGAAAUGACCUGUAUCCUGGAGAGGAGAGAGAAUGCGUGUGUUCUACAGGCUGGGGCUGGAGAGACAUGUGCAGAAAACUCAGGCAAUGUGGUGAAUAUAUUUCCAAUUUUACAGAAAGGGUCCAGUCUGUAUCACAGGCAUUUGGGUUAUUUAUUUUAAUAACAUUCUAAGUGAAAGACUUCUCUCUGAUAAUAGAAUUUCUUUUUGUUUUUAUGAAUUCAAAAAUGAAAAAUAAGCUACAGCAAAAGAAUCUAAUUUCCUAUAAUAAGGUUUUGUUUUUAGUCACUUAUAAAUGCGAAAUCAUGGGGCCUUAGACACCAGAAGGCAUAUGCUGGUCAUGGAAAUGAAAUAAGAAAAAUAAAAUAAAAUCUUAGAAACCCACUCAUAAAUAUUGACCUUCCCCUUUUCCCUACCUUCAGCUCCUACCUAAAACUUCACACGUGUGUGCCCACACACACACUCGCACACCCAGAGGAGAAAUAACAAUACUGGCUUUCAGAAGCUGUGUGGGACGGACUGUGAGCUGGCCUGUCCUCGAGAUAGAACACAUUUGUUCAAUAAAUUCUUCACCUCAGGGUGGAAGUCCAUGGAAUUCAACACUGCUGCCAAAAACACCCAAACUUAGAAGUGGUCUGGAAUACCAUGUGGUCCCAGGUACCCCACUAAGUCUGACAGUCAUCGGGGGCCCUUCGACUAGGGCCAUCAGAAUUUUAUACCAGAUAUUUUCUCAACAAGGUCAAACUCAUCUUUCAUGAGCAAAAGGCUAUGGUUCUAUGCAGGCUACAGAGUCCAUGAUACAACUUCUCAAAAUCUAUUCCAUUUUAUCAGUUUCACCCGAGCCACGUACCCCUUAUCCUUUUUAGUAUGUCUUUUUCUAUAAUAUUCCCAAGGAAUAUUUGUGAAUCUUUAGUUUCAUCAAUUCUCCCCAGGUUUUCUUGCUCCUGAAAUAGCAAAGUUGGGACUCACACUUCCUAUUGUACAUAUUUAAAAUUGUCAUCCUGAGCAGUGAGUCAAUACUACUCCCCUACUUCUCUCCUAACAUUUUUGCAUCUCUCUGAGACUUCCAUUCCAUCUAUUUCCAGGAUAUAACAAUAAUUUUGCAACCUCACCUUAGGAAGCCACAUGUCUUCCUCAAUAUUAACUGCCAAUCAGUCCUCCUGUUACCAGGGAUAGGGGUCAGUUAUGCAAAUCAGGUCAGAGCUAUGGUCCAGUGCUCUCUCAUCCUUCUGUCAGAUCACGCUUUCACCUCUUUUCCCUCCUCCUCCAUGUUGCCUUCUUCCUCCUAGAGGACCUCUUGUCCCUACAGCAGUGGUCCCCAACCUUUUUGGCACCAGAGACCAGUUUCACGGAAGACAACUUUUCCACAGACCUGUGGUGGAGAGGGGAUGGUUUCAGGAUGAUUCAAGCACAUUACAUUUAUUGUGCAAUUUAUUUCUAUUAUUAUUACAUUAUAAUAUAUGAUGAAAUAAUUAUAUAACUCACCAUAAUAUAGAAUCAGUGGAAGCCUGAGCUUGUGUUCCUGCAACUGGAUGGUCCCAUCUGGGAGUGAUGGGAGACAGUGACAGAUCAUCAGGCAUUAGAUUCUCAUAAGGACCUUGCAUCCUAGAUCCCUCACAUGCACAGUUCAGAGAAGGGCUCAUGCUCCUAUGAGAAUCUAAUGCUGCCGCUGAUCUGAAAGGAGGCAGGGCUCAGGUAGUAAUUCGAGCAAUCAGGAGCAGGUGUAAAUACAGACGAAGCUUCGUUCACUUGCCCACCAUUCACCUCCUGCUGUGCUGCCCAAUUCCUAACAAGCCACAGACUGGUACCGAUCUGUGGCCCAGGGAUUGGGCACCCCUGCCCCACAGUACACUCAGCUCUGAACAUGGUACAUACACACACAAGGAAAACUUACCCUUGAGCCCCAGAAGCUAGACUAGAUCUUUUAUAGUAGUUUUUCUAUUUUUCCCUGGAUAUACCCUUUAUCUCUGUUUUCCACAUGGGGACAAUAUUCAUCCAGAAAUGUUUAUUCAACUAAGAAGUGUUUCUGGUAACAUUUCCAUUUGUGGACUCUAAUUGCCCCGCAAAGGGGGUCACUGGAAGGACCGAAAGGAAUAUUAACAUCCUGUGUGCUUAUAUUCACAUUGUUUACAUAGAGUGCACAGAAAUAGUGUGAGUUUAUAGGCUGCCAGACCUGGAUUUGAAUCCCAGCUCUACUGACCCUUCUAAGUUUCAAUGACCUUGCCUGAAGAAUGUAAUGAAUGUAAUAGGAGCUGUUGCAAAAAUAGUGAGUUCGUACAAGAAUUAAACAAGGCAAGGUCCUUAGCACAGUGUCUGGAUCAUAAUAAACUCUCAAUAAAUGCUAGCAGGAUGUUAGUAGUGAUAAUUUUAUAAUUAUUAUAACUAGUAAUAAUAGCAGUAUUAUUAUUCAAUGUCAGAAGAUCUGGUUUCCAAAUUAGCUUUGUGAAUAACUUAUUUUCCUAGAACAACUCUCUGAAUGUUAUUUCCUCCUCUGCAAUACAGCAUGAAAGUUGCCAUGGUCUGAGUGUUUUUGUCUUCCCAAAAUUCAUACAUUGAAACUUAAUCACCAAUGUGAUGGUAUUAGGAGGUGGAGCCUUUGGAAGGUGAUUAGGUCAUGAGGGUGGAGCUCUUAUGAAUGGAAUUAAUGUCCUUGUAAAAGAGGCCCCAGAGAGCUCCCUUGCCCCUUUCACCAUGUGAGGACACAGCAAGAAGCCACCAUCUAGGAACCAGGAAGCUGUCCCUCAUCAGACACUGAAUCUGCUGGAGCCUUGAUCUUGGACUUCCCAGCCUCCUGAACUGUGAAAAAUAAAUGUCUGCUGUUUUUAAGCCACUC
rnacentral:lncRNA from 1 species